rnacentral:rRNA from 1 species
AGUGAACGCUGGCGGCAGGCCUAACACAUGCAAGUCGAGCGGCAGCGCGUCCGACCACCCUCGGGUGGUCGGAUGGCGGCGAGCGGCGGACGGGUGAGGAGUGCAUCGGAAUCUGCCUCGUUGUGGGGGAUAACGUAGGGAAACUUACGCUAAUACCGCAUACGACCUACGGGUGAAAGUGGGGGACCUUCGGGCCUCACGCGAUGAGAUGAGCCGAUGCCGGAUUAGCUAGUUGGCGGGGUAAAGGCCCACCAAGGCGACGAUCCGUAGCUGGUCUGAGAGGAUGAUCAGCCACACUGGAACUGAGACACGGUCCAGACUCCUACGGGAGGCAGCAGUGGGGAAUAUUGGACAAUGGGGGGCAACCCGUGAUCCAGCCAUGCCGCGUGUGUGAAGAAGGCCUUGGGU